rnacentral:lncRNA from 1 species
UCUUAGGCUUGCUGGGUGAGAAAGUGCCGCGCGGCAUUCUGGGAGUUGUAGUUUCGCGGUGGGGGCGUGCCGCAGGGCAUGCCGGGAGCUGUAGUUCCGUGCCUGGCGAGGCGCCAUUUCCCGCCGCAGCCGGUCCGGCGAAGCUUGCGGCGCCCUCGGGGCUAGGCCGUGGCGCGCGCGGGGAAGCCGGGAGGGUGGCGGGCCUCUCUGCCGCCCCUCACCGCAGCUGGGGCCGGCGGCGGAACGCCGCCCUCGCAGGCCGUUUCUCUGAGCUAGGGGUGAGGCGAGGGCCUCGAGGCUGUGUGGGGAAGGCACCAGGACCAGAGUCCUGUCGCACUCAGCAGGUGUUGGAGCCACCAUCGAACCAGCGGAGGUGGGUAAAUGCCUUAUUUCCGCAAACACAGAGACACAACGUAUUCUGCAAUAGCUUAUGUCCUCGUAGUCCUGCCCUUGGCAGUGUGCAGUUCAGCUCCAAGAGCAAUGCUAGAAGACAGUGGGAGGAGGUUUCCUGUUGCUCCCAACCCGCAUUUCCAUUUUUUGGGAAACAGGUUAUGUAACAAAAGCAACUACAAACAGUAUAAGAAAAAUAUCUUUGUUAUUAUGAAUACAUCAUAAAAUAACAAUUACUUUAUACACAUUUUAGUAUUUCAUAUACUUAUAUAAAUAAAGUGAACAGUAUAACUAUUGGAAUGUGUAAU